AAUUGGUUGAAAGAUGUAGCCACCAAUGAUGAGACAAAGACUGUGUUUACUUGCGAAGCACGAAAGAAGUUGUUUGUUAGAGUUCUAACAAAGUGCACAUGGCUUAAAGAUCCUGAAGUCGACGCAGUCUGCCACUUGUUGCGCAAAAGGAUUGAGCAAUAUCCCAAGACAUAUAAACAUUGUAAAGUAUCAAUAGGGGAUUGCUUAUUAGCAGAUAUGAUGAGGCGAGAGUACCCGAACUU